AGGCCCAAUGAGAAGAGUGUGUCAUGAAAAGAACUAUGAUUAAUCCAAUUCUGUAUAUCUAAGGUCCAAU
rnacentral:snoRNA from 1 species